UCCUGGCUCAGGAUGAACGCUAGCUACAGGCUUAACACAUGCAAGUCGCGGGGCAGCAUGGUCUUAGCUGCUAAGACUGAUGGCGACCGGCGCACGGGUGAGUAACGCGUAUCCAACCUUCCCCUUAGUAGGGCAUAGCCCGGCGAAAGUCGGAUUAAUACCCUAUGUUCUUCGUAGAUGGCAUCUGAGACGAAGCAAAGGUUAGCGCUAAGGGAUGGGGAUGCGUCUGAUUAGGCAGUCGGCGGGGUAACGGCCCACCGAGCCUUCGAUCAGUAGGGGUUCUGAGAGGAAGGUCCCCCACAUUGGAACUGAGACACGGUCCAAACUCCUACGGGAGGCAGCAGUGAGGAAUAUUGGUCAAUGGGCGAGAGCCUGAACCAGCCAAGUAGCGUGCAGGACGACGGCCCUACGGGUUGUAAACUGCUUUUAUGCGGGGAUAAAGUGCCCUACGUGUAGGGUAUUGCAGGUACCGCAUGAAUAAGGACCGGCUAAUUCCGUGCCAGCCGCUGC
rnacentral:rRNA from 1 species